rnacentral:rRNA from 1 species
UACAGAGGGUGCAAACGUUGUUCGGAUUUACUGGGCGUAAAGCGCGUGUAGGCGGCUUUGCAAGUCGGAUGUGAAAGCCCACGGCUCAACCGUGGAAGUGCAUCCGAAACUGCAUGGCUUGAGUCUCGGAGAGGAAGGUGGAAUGCUUGGUGUAGAGGUGAAAUUCGUAGAUAUCAAGCAGAACACCUGCGGCGAAGGCGGCCUUCUGGACGGUGACUGACGCUGAGACGCGAAAGCGUGGGGAGCAAACAGG